UAGCCGUAAACGAUACUCGCUAGGUGUCGGCCACGGUGCGACCGUUGUCGGUGCCGUAGGGAAGCCGUGAAGCGAGCCACCUGGGAAGUACGGCCGCAAGGCUGAAACUUAAAGGAAUUGGCGGGGGAGCACAACAACGGGUGGAGCUUGCGGUUUAAUUGGAUUCAACGCCGGAAAUCUUACCGGGACCGACAGCAACAUGAAGGUCAAGCUGAAGACUUUGCCGGAUUAGCUGAGAGGAGGUGCAUGGCGUCAGUGACU
rnacentral:rRNA from 1 species